AUUGAACGCUGGCGGCAUGCCUUACACAUGCAAGUCGAACGGCAGCAUGGAGAGCUUGCUCUCUGAUGGCGAGUGGCGAACGGGUGAGUAAAGCAUCGGAACGUACCGUGUAGUGGGGGAUAACGUAGCGAAAGUUACGCUAAUACCGCAUACGCACUGAGGUGGAAAGCAGGGGAUCGUAAGACCUUGCGCUAUACGAGCGGCCGAUGUCAGAUUAGCUAGUUGGUAGGGUAAAGGCCUACCAAGGCGACGAUCUGUAGCGGGUCUGAGAGGAUGAGCCGCCACACUGGGACGGAGACACGGCCCAGACUCCUACGGGAGGCAGCAGUGGGGAAUUUUGGACAAUGGGGGCAACCCUGAUCCAGCCAUGCCGCGUGAGUGAAGAAGGCCUUCGGGUUGUAAAGCUCUUUCGGCCGGGAAGAAAUCGCACAGGCUAAUACCCUGUGUGGAUGACGGUACCGGCAUAAGAAGCACCGGCUAACUACGUGCCAGCAGCCGCCGUAA
rnacentral:rRNA from 1 species